UUCAGCACUCUGGCUGAUCUUUCACUGCCUGCUUCUGUUAUGGUUACUAUUCUAUACUUUUUCUAAGUACGUCCGCAGGAAAAUGCUUCUCGGGGUUGAAUGUGGUGAUUUAUCUGUACUCUGAUAAUAAAAUUUACUUUGAAAUUUGAGUUUCGGGGAUUUUCCUUUAAUUCUGGGGACAAACUGUGACUGACAUCUCCAGCUCCCAGUAGCAGCCCGUCCUCUCACACUCACAGCCAAUCAGCGAUCACCGCUGGGAGAGGGAUGCUGCCAUUGGCUGAGGGGUGUCAGUGGGCGGGACGCUGUUUGGACCGGGACCGAGUGGGCCGGAGACCGGGAGCUGCGCCUCGGGUUUCGGCUGCACCACCGGCGGGUCGUGAAUCCUUUCGAAGGCAGAGCUGAAGCGACCGGCGGAGAUUCCGUGAGAUGUUUCAGCUACACGGAGGGCGCCCGGCCUUUCCCCGCCGAGGAUCGGGGCCUGUUGUCUGGAGUUGUCUCCCAGACCCGUCCCUUCCUGCUGGGAGACGGGAGCUGCCCCGCAGCGGCUGCCGGUGGAUCUCCGGAGCUCUCACCGCUCCCCUGUGCAAUCCGAACGGCUGAAAACCAAGGGAGAACAAGGCGCAAAGGGGCAAGACCAGAACAUGUGGGUCAAUAAAGCGACUUCAGAAUGACAUCUGUGACAGGCUGGAUUAACAUAAGAAUAAAAUCGAGCGAGUUUAUCCUUGGACAUGUGAGCCCUAUGAACAACCUGAAAUUGUAUUAGGCAUGUUUAGCACAAAUAAAAGAAGAAUUGAUUAAUUGUAAAA